CCUACGGGAGGCAGCAGUGGGGAAUUUUGGACAAUGGGCGAAAGCCUGAUCCAGCCAUUCCGCGUGAGUGAAGAAGGCCUUCGGGUUGUAAAGCUCUUUCGCAAGGGAAGAAAACUUAGAUACUAAUAUUAUCUGAGGUUGACGGUACCUUGAUAAGAAGCACCGGCUAACUACGUGCCAGCAGCCGCGGUAAUACGUAGGGUGCGAGCGUUAAUCGGAAUUACUGGGCGUAAAGCGUGCGCAGGCGGUUUUGUAAGUCAGAUGUGAAAUCCCCGAGCUCAACUUGGGAACUGCGUUUGAAACUACAAGACUAGAAUAUGUCAGAGGGGGGUAGAAUUCCACGUGUAGCAGUGAAAUGCGUAGAGAUGUGGAGGAAUACCAAUGGCGAAGGCAGCCCCCUGGGAUAAUAUUGACGCUCAUGCACGAAAGCGUGGGGAGCAAACAGGAUUAGAUACCCUGGUAGUCCACGCCCUAAACGAUGUCUACUAGUUGUUGGUGGAGUAAAAUCCAUGAGUAACGCAGCUAACGCGUGAAGUAGACCGCCUGGGGAGUACGGUCGCAAGAUUAAAACCGUCAAAAGUAGUAGUACGGACGUGAGAGAGACGACGACGACGACGACGGAGGGAGGAGG
rnacentral:rRNA from 1 species